GGUUGUGUAGUGUAGUGGUGAUCACUCCGGAUUUUGAUCAGCAUCAAAAUCAAUAACUUCCGGCAACCCCGGUUCGAGCCCGGGCACGACCU